rnacentral:rRNA from 1 species
AGGACGAACGCUGGCGGCGUGCUUAACACAUGCAAGUCGAGCGAGGCCCCUUCCUUCGGGAGGGGAGCCCUAGCGGCGAACGGGUGAGUAACACGUGGGCAAUCUGCCCCUAGCACUGGGAUAACUCCGGGAAACCGGGCUAAUACCGGAUAUGACCUCCGAGGGCAUCCUCUGGAGGUGGAAAGGAUUCUGGCUAGGGAUGAGCCCGCGGCCUAUCAGCUAGUUGGUGGGUAACGCUUCCCAAGGCGACGAUCGGUAGCUGGUCUGAGAGGACGAUCAGCCACACUGGGAUUGAGAACGGCCCAGACUCCUACGGGGGCAGCAGUGAGGAAUUUUCCGCAAUGGAGGCAACUCUGACGGAGCAACGCCGCGUGCAGGAGGAAGGUUUUCGGAUCGUAAACUGUCUUUUCGUCGGGGACGAGCAAGGACCGGUACCGAGGAAGAGCCCCGGCUAACUACGUGCCAGCAGCCGC